rnacentral:tRNA from 1 species
UCCCUGGUGGCUCAGAUGGUAAAGCAUCUGCCUGCAAUGCAGGAGACCUGGGUUUGAUCCCUGAGUUGGGAA